rnacentral:lncRNA from 1 species
GCAGGAGACCAGCGUUUAUUGUUACUCAAAUCGGUCUCCCCAAGCAUUCAGGGAGCAGAGUUGUUAAGGACAACUUGGUGGGUGGGGGGAAGCCGGUGAGCCAGGAGUGCUGAUUGGUCAGAGACGAAGGCACAGGGAGUCAAGCUGUCUUUUUGCUCUGAGUCAGUUCCUGGAUGGGGACCAUAGGAGCAGAUGAGCCAGUUUAUGGAUCUGGGUGGUGCCAGCUGAUCCAUCUGGUACAGGGUCUGCAAAAUAUCUCAAGGGCUGAUCUUAGGAGCAGUUUAGGGAGGGUCAGAAUCAUAUAGCCUCCCGCUGCAUGACUCCUAAACCGUCAUUUCUCAUUUUGUGGCUAAUGUUAGUCCCACAAAGGCCAUGUAGUCCCCAGGCAAGAAGGAGGUCUGCUUUGGGAAAGGGCUGUUACCAUCUUUGUUUAAACUAUAAACUAAGUUCUUCCCAAAGUUAGUUCAGCCUCUGCCCAGGAAUGAACAAGGACAGCCUGGAGGUUAGAAGGAAGAUGGAGCUGUUUACAUUAGAUCUCUUUCACUGUCUGUCAUAAUUUUGCAAAGGCGGUUUCACCAGGAAAACAUAGCACAUCAUACUCCUGGAGUAGCUUGGAGGGAAUUUAGAGCAAAUACAUUAAUUGUUUUUACCCCUAAGAGGGAUCAUAGCACACUAUAAACCUAGGAUAUUCUUGGCCAGGCACUGUCAUCCCAGCACUUUGGGAGGCAGAGGUGGAGGGGUCACCUGAGGUCAGUAGUUUGAGACCAACCUGGUCAACAUGGUGCAACCUCAUCUCUACUAAAAAUACCAAAAUUAGCCGGGCACAGCGUUGCGCGCCUGUGAUCCCAGCUAUUCGGGAGUAUAGGAGUGAGACACCAUGCCUAGCCUUUUUCUUUGUUUUGAGGCAUUAAUGUUGUCGAUGAAAAGAGUCUAACUCUGUAAAAUAUUUGAAGAGAUUUAUUCUGUGCCAAACAUGAGUGACCAUGGCCUGUGACGCAACCUCAGGAGGUUCUGAGAACAUGUGUCCAAGGUGGCCCGGUUUUAUACCUUCUACAGGGGCAUGAGACAUCAAUCAAAUACAUUGAAAAAAUACAUUGAUUUGGUCCAGAAAGCUGGGAUAACUCAAAGCGGGACUUCCAGGCCAUAGGUGAAUUUAAACACUUUCUGGUUGACAAUUGGUUGAGUUUGUCUAAAGACCUGGGAUGGAUAGAAAGGGAAUAUUCAGGUUAAGAUAAAAGAUUGUGGAGACCAAGGUUCUUUUGAAGUCUUAUAGUGACUGCCCUUAGAGACAAUGGAUGACAAAUGUUUCCUAUUCAGAUGUUUAAAAGGUGCUAGACUCUUAAUCUCUUUAGGAUUGGGAGGGCCUGUAAGAAAAAGAUCUAGCUAUGUUACUAGAGAUGCUUUGCAGAUACAACUUUUCCCCCAGGAAGGACAGUUUUGCAGGGCCAUUUCAAGAUAUGGCAAAGAAGCAUGUUUUGGGGUAAAAUAUUUUGAUUUUCUUCCUUGCCUCACAAAAUUAUGCCAGAGUCAGGUUGUAAAGUAAGUCACAAUAUAUAGGGUUAAAUAAAAUCCAUCUGAUGAGAAUUUAUGGUUCCCCAGAGCCCUUAGAUAGGCAUUUGGGCAAGAUAAAAAAAUCAGAGCUUGGUCCUCAAUGUUAAUGAACAAAAAGGGUGACAGGAGAGGAGACAAUGUGCCCAGCUGGGCAUCCUGGCCUCCCACCUCCACAUGGGCAGGGAGGAUGGCAGGUGU